rnacentral:rRNA from 1 species
AAUCGACGCUGGCGGCGUGCCUCAGACAUGCAAGUCGAACGAUUAAAGCUCCCUUCGGGGAGUGCAUAAAGUGGCGCACGGGUGAGUAACACGUAAGUAAUCUACCCUCGAGUGGGGAAUAACGUCCGGAAACGGACGCUAAUACCGCAUAAUGCAGCGGCACCGCAAGGUGACAGUUGUUAAAGAUUUAUCGCUUGAGGAGGAGCUUGCGGCAGAUUAGCUAGUUGGUAAGGUAAUGGCUUACCAAGGCCGCGAUCUGUAACCGGUCUAAGAGGACGGUCGGUCACACUGACAAUGAAUAACGGGUCAGACUCCUACGGGAGGCAGCGGUCGGGAAUUUUGGGCAAUGGGCGAAAGCCUGACCCAGCAACGACGCGUGAAGGAUGAAGUAUUUCGGUAUGUAAACUUCGAAAGAAUGGGAAGAAUAAAUGACGGUACCAUUUAUAAGCUCCGGCUAACUACGUGCCAGCAGCCGCGGUAAUAC